AUUGAACGCUGGCGGCAGGCCUAACACAUGCAAGUCGAACGGUAGCACAGAGAGCUUGCUCUUGGGUGACGAGUGGCGGACGGGUGAGUAAUGUCUGGGAAACUGCCCGAUGGGAGGGGGAUAACUACUGGAAACGGUAGCUAAUACCGCAUAACGUCGCAAGACCAAAGUGGGGGACCUUCGGGCCUCACACCAUCGGAUGUGCCCAGAUGGGAUUAGCUGGUUGGUGG
rnacentral:rRNA from 1 species